AUCAUCCUUUUUCUCUAAGAAUCUCUUGUCGAGAUUAAGGUAUAUAUGUANUUCUUGGUGGAUGUUGAAAACAACAAGUGUGUGGUUUUGUUUCCAUUUGCAUUAUUGUUCUGAUACAUGUAACUCAAUGAGAUGGUGCAGAAUAAAUGUCAUGUUUUUCCAAUUGUUAUAAUUCGUUAGUUCCUUUUCUUACAUCUCUGGUCGGAUAAAAAGUGAAAGGAAAGUUGUAUUGAGUGUUAGCUUUUGAAAAUUCAUUGGAAGGGAACAUAGACCCACACAUUCUGCAUUCCAUUGCAUUGCAUAUUGAAAUUCAACUCUCUGUCUCUCAAACCAAACCUAACUAAGUCUGCGCAUGAUAACUCACAACUCGGUCUGAGUGGGAUGCAAAAUCUAAGCUACCAAACUCAUGAUCUUCU
rnacentral:lncRNA from 1 species